UCCCUGGUGGCUCAGACGGUAAGGCGUCUGCCUGCAAUGCGGGAGACCUGGGUUCGAUUCCUGGGUCGGGAA
rnacentral:tRNA from 1 species